CAGCGCCACGAGUGGCAAUCGUAUUUAUUUGGCCUAAAGCGUCCGUAGCUGGUUAAGUAAAUCUCUUGUGAAAUUGUUUGGCUUAACCAAACAGCGUGCAGGAGAGACUGCUUAGCUAGGGACCGGGAGGAGUCAGAGGUAUGCUGGGGGGAGCGGUAAAAUGCAAUAAUCCUCGGUAGACCACCUGUGGCGAAGGCGUCUGACUAGAACGGGUCCGACAGUGAGGGACGAAAGCCAGGGGAGCAAACCGGAUUAGAUACCCGCGUAGUCC
rnacentral:rRNA from 1 species